GUAGCAGUGUAAAUGAAAUGAAAUGACUGUGUAAUAAGUCUGUGAGCCUUAUGCUAUUAUCUUUCACAUAUAUUUGUAAUAUUCCAUUAUGCCAGUUUUCAAAAAUAUUUUCUUCUAUUAAUAUUUUCUAAGUUUUAUGUCUUUAAGGCAAUAUUUUUCAACUUGAGACAAUAUACUUUUUAUUCUUAGCAUUUCGUUGUUAAAUUACUUUAUUCUUACUAUAUUUAAAUGUUUUUCUGUCUUUAGACAGGACUCUAAAAAUCAAAUGAUGUCUAUAUCCAGAGAGACCAGAUAAAUGAGCAGUUUGGAAGCUAAAGAAGGUUCAGUACCCUGAGAAUGGAGAAGAAUCCUACUUUGGAGACAAAUUUUUCAAGUGUGGAUCCCAUUAUGAAGGACAAAAGAGAAGCAGUGGGUGAAGGCCUUUCUACAUUCC
rnacentral:lncRNA from 1 species